GUGUUAACUUCAGCAGCACAUAUACUAAAGUUGGGAUGAUAAAGAGAGAUUAGCAUGGACCCAGUACAAGGAUGAAACACAAAUUCAUGAAGUGUUUCAUAUUUUU
ensembl:snRNA U6 U6 spliceosomal RNA